GAUCCUGCUCAGGACGAACGCUGGCGGCACGCUUAACACAUGCAAGUCGAACGAGAGAAGAGAAGCUUGCUUUUCUGAUCUAGUGGCGGACGGGUGAGUAACACGUGAGCAAUCUGCCUUUCAGAGGGGGAUACCGAUUGGAAACGAUCGUUAAUACCGCAUAAUAUAAUUGAACCGCAUGAUUUGAUUAUCAAAGAUUUAUCGCUGAAAGAUGAGCUCGCGU
rnacentral:rRNA from 1 species